GAUGAACGCUGGCGGCGUGCCUAAUACAUGCAAGUCGAGCGAACAGACGAGGAGCUUGCUCCUCUGACGUUAGCGGCGGACGGGGGAGUAACACGUGGAUAACCUACCUAUAAGACUUGGAUAACUUCGGGAAACCGGAGCUAAUACCGGAUAAUAUAUUGAACCGCAUGGUUCAAUAGUGAAAAACGGUUUUGCUGUCACUUAUAGAUGGAUCCGCGCCGCAUUAGCUAGUUGGUAAGGUAACGGCUUACCAAGGCAACGAUGCGUAGCCGACCUGAGAGGGUGAUCGGCCACACUGGAACUGAGACACGGUCCAGACUCCUACGGGAGGCAGCAGUAGGGAAUCUUCCGCAAUGGGCGAAAGCCUGACGGAGCAACGCCGCGUGAGUGAUGAAGGUCUUCGGAUCGUAAAACUCUGUUAUUAGGGAAGAACAAAUGUGUAAGUAACUAUGCACGUCUUGACGGUACCUAAUCAGAAAGCCACGGCUAACUACGUG
rnacentral:rRNA from 1 species